AGACCCGAAACCCGGUGAUCUAGCCAUGGGCAGGUUGAAGGUUGGGUAACACUAACUGGAGGACCGAACCGACUAAUGUUGAAAAAUUAGCGGAUGACCUGUGGCUGGGGGUGAAAGGCCAAUCAAACCGGGAGAUAGCUGGUUCUCCCCGAAAGCUAUUUAGGUAGCGCCUCGUGAAUUCAUCUCCGGGGGUAGAGCACUGUUUCGGCUAGGGGGCCAUCCCGGCUUACCAACCCGAUGCAAACUGCGAAUACCGGAGAAUGUUAUCACGGGAGACACACGGCGGGUGCUAACGUCCGUCGUGAAGAGGGAAACAACCCAGACCGCCAGCUAAGGUCCCAAAGUCAUGGUUAAGUGGGAAACGAUGUGGGAAGGCCCAGACAGCCAGGAUGUUGGCUUAGAAGCAGCCAUCAUUUAAAGAAAGCGUAAUAGCUCACUGGUCGAGUCGGCCUGCGCGGAAGAUGUAACGGGGCUAAACCAUGCACCGAAGCUGCGGCAGCGACACUGUGUGUUGUUGGGUAGGGGAGCGUUCUGUAAGCCUGUGAAGGUGUGUCGUGAGGCAUGCUGGAGGUAUCAGAAGUGCGAAUGCUGACAUAAGUAACGAUAAAGCGGGUGAAAAGCCCGCUCGCCGGAAGACCAAGGGUUCCUGUCCAACGUUAAUCGGGGCAGGGUGAGUCGACCCCUAAGGCGAGGCCGAAAGGCGUAGUCGAUGGGAAACGGGUUAAUAUUCCCGUACUUGGUGUUACUGCGAAGGGGGGACGGAGAAGGCUAUGUUGGCCGGGCGACGGUUGUCCCGGUUUAAGCGUGUAGGUGUGUGUUCCAGGUAAAUCCGGUUCACUUUAACACUGAGGCGUGACGACGAGGCACUACGGUGCUGAAGCAACAAAUGCCCUGCUUCCAGGAAAAGCCUCUAAGCAUCAGGUAACAUCAAAUCGUACCCCAAACCGACACAGGUGGUCAGGUAGAGAAUACCAAGGCGCUUGAGAGAACUCGGGUGAAGGAACUAGGCAAAAUGGUGCCGUAACUUCGGGAGAAGGCACGCUGACACGUAGGUGAAGUGAUUUACUCAUGGAGCUGAAGUCAGUCGAAGAUACCAGCUGGCUGCAACUGUUUAUUAAAAACACAGCACUGUGCAAACACGAAAGUGGACGUAUACGGUGUGACGCCUGCCCGGUGCCGGAAGGUUAAUUGAUGGGGUCAGCGCAAGCGAAGCUCCUGAUCGAAGCCCCGGUAAACGGCGGCCGUAACUAUAACGGUCCUAAGGUAGCGAAAUUCCUUGUCGGGUAAGUUCCGACCUGCACGAAUGGCGUAAUGAUGGCCAGGCUGUCUCCACCCGAGACUCAGUGAAAUUGAACUCGCUGUGAAGAUGCAGUGUACCCGCGGCAAGACGGAAAGACCCCGUGAACCUUUACUAUAGCUUGACACUGAACAUUGAGCCUUGAUGUGUAGGAUAGGUGGGAGGCUUUGAAGUGUGGACGCCAGUCUGCAUGGAGCCGACCUUGAAAUACCACCCUUUAAUGUUUGAUGUUCUAACGUGGACCCGUUACCCGGGUUGCGGACAGUGUCUGGUGGGUAGUUUGACUGGGGCGGUCUCCUCCUAAAGAGUAACGGAGGAGCACGAAGGUUGGCUA
rnacentral:rRNA from 1 species